rnacentral:lncRNA from 1 species
AUGCCCUCCAGGCAUCCAUCCAUCUCUAUCUAUCCUUGUAUCCACCCAUCCAUCCUCCAUCCACCUAUCCGUCUAUCUGCCCUUCCACUCCCCUAUCCACCCCUCCACCCACCCAUCUAUCUCUAUCCAUUCAUUCCCGGAUCCACCCACCCACUCCUCUAUGCACAUCUCCAUCCAUCCAUUUACCUACCCACCCAUCCCUCUAUUCACUCUUCCUCUCCUCUGUCCACCCCUCCAUCCAUCCAUUUACCCACCCACCCAUCCCUCUAUUCACUCUUCCUCUCCUCUGUCCACCCCGUCCAGCCGUCCUUCCAUCCAUCCACCCACACACCCCUCUCUCCACCCCUCCAUCCAUCCAUCUCCAUCCAUUUGUCCAUCCUUCUGUCCACACACUCACCUCUCUACCCAUCCGCCUCUUCCCCCUUCCUUUUCCCUACAAGCCCCAUGUCCUGGGGGGCUGACUCCAAGUGGGGGUGCUGCUUCCAGGCUCCAUGCCUUAGUGAAUCGGAGACCAGCAGAGAAAGGCCUGAUAGCUCGACCUCAGGGCUGCCAUGGAUCGCUGGUGCCGCCCGCCACCACAUCCAUCCACCACAGGCUGAGGACAGGAAUGUCAUUCUCUCCAUGGGCAUAGGGCUCCUCCCAGGAGCCAGGCAGGGGCCAGGCCUUUCUUUGGACUGUGCAGAGGGUGCACCCCCAGGCCUGGUGAGUGACCCUUUUCCACACGGGUUCAGAGAGGGCUCUCAGAGGAAGGCGCGAAAGCCAGCCUUGCAGGAUGCUGGAGGGAGAGCCUGGGGAGGCUGCACCCCCGGCAGCUGGAACCAGGGGGCAGUGAGGGCAGGCCCUGGACAUCCUUUUGUCGAAGUGGACAUGCUGGGUUUGCAUCCAUCUGAGUCACUCUGUGAUAAAAGUCGUUCAGGCUGUCCAGAGGUCUGCGACAGUGUUUUCCGUUAUCAAGUGAUGUGUCUCACGACACCCCACCUGCCAGCCCCAGGGCCGGGCUGGACUGGAGAGUGGGGACCCUCUGUCCUCUAA